UACGAAGGGGGCUAGCGUUGCUCGGAAUUACUGGGCGUAAAGGGAGCGUAGGCGGACAGUUUAGUCAGAGGUGAAAGCCCAGGGCUCAACCUUGGAAUUGCCUUUGAUACUGGCUGUCUUGAGUACGGGAGAGGUGUGUGGAACUCCGAGUGUAGAGGUGAAAUUCGUAGAUAUUCGGAAGAACACCAGUGGCGAAGGCGACACACUGGCCCGUUACUGACGCUGAGGUGCGAAAGCGUGGGGAGCAAACAGG
rnacentral:rRNA from 1 species